rnacentral:rRNA from 1 species
CCGGGUUGCGGACAGUGUCUGGUGGGUAGUUUGACUGGGGCGGUCUCCUCCCAAAGAGUAACGGAGGAGCACGAAGGUUAGCUAAUCCUGGUCGGACAUCAGGAGGUUAGUGCAAUGGCAUAAGCUAGCUUGACUGCGAGAGUGACGGCUCGAGCAGGUGCGAAAGCAGGUCAUAGUGAUCCGGUGGUUCUGAAUGGAAGGGCCAUCGCUCAACGGAUAAAAGGUACUCCGGGGAUAACAGGCUGAUACCGCCCAAGAGUUCAUAUCGACGGCGGUGUUUGGCACCUCGAUGUCGGCUCAUCACAUCCUGGGGCUGAAGUAGGUCCCAAGGGUAUGGCUGUUCGCCAUUUAAAGUGGUACGCGAGCUGGGUUUAGAACGUCGUGAGACAGUUCGGUCCCUAUCUGCCGUGGGCGCUGGAGAAUUGAGGGGGGCUGCUCCUAGUACGAGAGGACCGGAGUGGACGCAUCACUGGUGUUCGGGUUGUCAUGCCAAUGGCACUGCCCGGUAGCUAAAUGCGGAAGAGAUAAGUGCUGAAAGCAUCUAAGCACGAAACUUGCCCCGAGAUGAGUUCUCCCUGACUCCUUGAGAGUCCUGAAGGAACGUUGAAGACGACGACGUUGAUAGGUCGGGUGUGUAAGCGCAGCGAUGCGUUGAGCUAACCGAUACUAAUGAACCGUGAGGCUUAACCUU